rnacentral:rRNA from 1 species
GAUGAACGCUGGCGGCGUGCCUAGUACAUGCAAGUCGAGCGAACGGACGAGAAGCUUGCUUCUCUGAUGUUAGCGGCGGACGGGUGAGUAACACGUGGAUAACCUACCUAUAAGACUGGGAUAACUUCGGGAAACCGGAGCUAAUACCGGAUGAUAUUUUGAACCGCAUGGUUCAAAAGUGAAAGACGGUCUUGCUGUCACUUAUAGAUGGAUCCGCGCUGCAUUAGCUAGUUGGUAAGGUAACGGCUUACCAAGGCAACGAUGCAUAGCCGACCUGAGAGGGUGAUCGGCCACACUGGAACUGAGACACGGUCCAGACUCCUACGGGAGGCAGCAGUAGGGAAUCUUCCGCAAUGGGCGAAAGCCUGACGGAGCAACGCCGCGUGAGUGAUGAAGGUCUUCGGAUCGUAAAACUCUGUUAUUAGGGAAGAACAUAUGUGUAAGUAACUGUGCGCAUCUUGACGGUACCUAAUCAGAAAGCCACGGCUAACUACGUG